CAGCCAUAUUACUUUGGAACACCGGUUCCGGUACGAUCACCAAAGUUAAGCAACUCCGAACAUAUUUAUUACCUAGAUGGGUGACUGCUUGAAAAUAUCAGGUGCUGUAAG